rnacentral:piRNA from 1 species
CGGCCAGGAGAAGAAAGGUUACUUUGAA